UGCAAGCAAACUAGGAAAAAACCACAG
rnacentral:piRNA from 1 species